AAAAAGGCCCUUUUAAGGGCCACCAACGCCAUUUUGAUUUUAUACU
rfam:Octopus bimaculoides Scaffold286198_contig_16, whole genome shotgun sequence.